AACGAACGCUGGCGGCAUGCCUAACACAUGCAAGUCGAACGAGACCUUCGGGUCUAGUGGCGCACGGGUGCGUAACGCGUGGGAAUCUGCCCUUGGGUUCGGAAUAACAGUUAGAAAUGACUGCUAAUACCGGAUGAUGACUUCGGUCCAAAGAUUUAUCGCCCAAGGAUGAGCCCACGUAGGAUUAGCUAGUUGGUAGGGUAAAGGCCCACCAAGGCGACGAUCCUUAGCUGGUCUGAGAGGAUGAUCAGCCACACUGGGACUGAGACACGGCCCAGACUCCUACGGGAGGCAGCAGUGGGGAAUAUUGGACAAUGGGCGAAAGCCUGAUCCAGCAAUGCCGCGUGAGUGAUGAAGGCCCUAGGGUUGUAAAGCUCUUUUACCCGGGAUGAUAAUGACAGUACCGGGAGAAUAAGCCCCGGCUAACUCCGUGCCAGCAGCCGCCGUAACAC
rnacentral:rRNA from 1 species